ensembl:lncRNA
CUGCACCCAGCACGGGUUUCCUGGCCACGUCUCAUGGUCUGAGCCUGAGUCACCACCUGUUCUGACUCAUAGCUCGUGGAAUGGUGGCACGGUGUGGGGCUGUGUCUGUAAGGGGACGGCACUUUGAAAGCGCUGAUAACGCUUUCCUGUAAGAUCUCCCUAUGAUUCAGUGAUACUUUGUGCCCCUUUGUUUCAGAUUAUCGUGUGUGGUGCAACUAUCGCAGCAGCUGCCCAGGAGUCAUGCAGACAGAGGUGCUGAUUAAGCAGAGAAAUGCUGAAAAUAAUUCUACAUAAAGCAUUUCAAGAUGUGCAUGAGGAC